rnacentral:rRNA from 1 species
UGCAGUCGAGGGGUAACAGGGAAAAGCUUGCUUUUUUGCUGACGACCGGCGAACGGGUGCGUAACGCGUAUAGAAUCUGCCUUGUACAGGAGGAUAGCCUUUAGAAAUGAAGAUUAAUACUCCAUAAUGUUGAGAAAUGGCAUCAUUUUUUAAUUAAAGAUUUAUCGGUACAAGAUGACUAUGCGUCCUAUUAGCUAGAUGGUAAGGUAACGGCUUACCAUGGCGACGAUAGGUAGGGGGUCUGAGAGGAUUAUCCCCCACACUGGUACUGAGACACGGACCAGACUCCUACGGGAGGCAGCAGUGAGGAAUAUUGGUCAAUGGAGGCAACUCUGAACCCAGCCAUGCCGCGUGCAGGAAGACUGCCCUAUGGGUUGUAAACUGCUUUUAUACAGGAAGAAACUUAGUUACGUGUAACUACUGACGGUACUGUAAGAAUAAGCACCGGCUAACUCCGUGCCAGCAGCCGCGGUAAUACGGAGGGUGCAAGCGUUAUCCGGAAUCAUUGGGUUUAAAGGGUCCGCAGGCGGUCAAUUAAGUCAGAGGUGAAAUCCCAUAGCUUAACUAUGGAACUGCCUUUGAUACUGGUUGACUUGAGUUAUACGGAAGUAGAUAGAAUAAGUAGUGUAGCGGUGAAAUGCAUAGAUAUUACUUAGAAUACCGAUUGCGAAGGCAGUCUACUACGUAUAUACUGACGCUCAUGGACGAAAGCGUGGGGAGCGAACAGGAUUAGAUACCCUGGUAGUCCACGCCGUAAACGAUGGACACUAGUUGUUGGGAUUUAUCUCAGUGACUAAGCGAAAGUGAUAAGUGUCCCACCUGGGGAGUACGAUCGCAAGAUUGAAACUCAAAGGAAUUGACGGGGGCCCGCACAAGCGGUGGAGCAUGUGGUUUAAUUCGAUGAUACGCGAGGAACCUUACCAGGGCUUAAAUGUAGAGUGACAGGGGUAGAGAUACCUUUUUCUUCGGACACUUUACAAGGUGCUGCAUGGUUGUCGUCAGCUCGUGCCGUGAGGUGUCAGGUUAAGUCCUAUAACGAGCGCAACCCCUAUCGUUAGUUGCUAGCAGGUAAUGCUGAGGACUCUAGCGAGACUGCCGGUGCAAACCGUGAGGAAGGUGGGGAUGACGUCAAAUCAUCACGGCCCUUACGUCCUGGGCUACACACGUGCUACAAUGGUAUGGACAAUGAGCAGCCACAACGCGAGUUGGAGCGAAUCUAUAAACCAUAUCACAGUUCGGAUCGGAGUCUGCAACUCGACUCC